rnacentral:rRNA from 1 species
GAUGAACGCUGGCGGCGUGCCUAAUACAUGCAAGUCGAGCGAACAGAUGAGGAGCUUGCUCCUCUGACGUUAGCGGCGGACGGGUGAGUAACACGUGAAUAACCUACCUAUAAGACUGGGAUAACUUCGGGAAACCGGAGCUAAUACCGGAUAAUAUAUUGAACCGCAUGGUUCAAUAGUGAAAGACGGUUUUGCUGUCACUUAUAGAUGGAUCCGCGCCGCAUUAGCUAGUUGGUAAGGUAACGGCUUACCAAGGCAACGAUGCGUAGCCGACCUGAGAGGGGGGUCGGCCACACUGGAACUGAGACACGGUCCAGCCUCCUACGGGAGGCAGCAGUAGGGAUUCUUCCGCAAUGGGCGAAAGCCUGACGGAGCACCGCCGCGGGAGUGAGAAAGGUCUUCGGAUGUUAAAACUCUUUUAUGAGGGAAAAAAAAAUGUGUAAGUAACUAUGCACGUCUUGACGGUACCUAAUCAGAAAGCCACGGCUAACUACGUG